rnacentral:rRNA from 1 species
UACGGAGGGUGCAAGCGUUAUCCGGAUUUACUGGGCUUAAAGGGCGUGUAGGCGGAUUUUUAAGUCAGAGGUGAAAUCUCCAGGCUCAACCUGGAAACUGCCCCUGAUACUAUUAGUCUUGAAUAUUGAUGAGGUGGGCGGAACGGGUCAUGUAGCGGUGAAAUGCGUAGAGAUGACCCGGAACACCAAUUGCGAAGGCAGCUCACUGGGCAAUUAUUGACGCUGAGGCACGAAAGCGUGGGGAGCAAACAGG